rnacentral:rRNA from 1 species
AACUACCUGAAUUACGUAUGAUUACCUGCUGAACUUAAGCAUAUCAGUAAGCAGAGGAAAAGAAACAAACAUGGAUUCCCCCAGUAACUGCGAGUGAAAAGGGAGGUGCCCAUCGCUAAAGGUUUGCGUUCGUUUGAGCGUAGACCGGUGUAGCGUAUAGAACUUGUGUUUGAUGCAGUGCGGUUGGUCUAAGUCUCGUUGGAAUACGGCGACUCAGACGGUUUCAUCCCGGUAUGACCGAUCGCGUUGUGUUGAGUGUUUGUUCUGGGAGUCGGGUUGUUUGGAAACGCAGCCCAAAGUUGGUGGUAAACUUCACCUAAGGCUAAAUAUGACCACGAAACCGAUAGAAUACAAGUACCGUGAGGGAAGU